rnacentral:rRNA from 1 species
UGGGGAAUUUUGGACAAUGGGCGCAAGCCUGAUCCAGCAAUGCCGCGUGCAGGAUGAAGGCCUUCGGGUUGUAAACUGCUUUUGUACGGAGCGAAAAGGUCUGCCCUAAUACGGUGGGCUCAUGACGGUACCGUAAGAAUAAGCACCGGCUAACUACGUGCCAGCAGCCGCGGUAAUACGUAGGGUGCGAGCGUUAAUCGGAAUUACUGGGCGUAACGCGUGCGCAGGCGGUUUUGUAAGACAGAGGUGAAAUCCCCGGGCUCAACCUGGGAAUUGCCUUUGUGACUGCAAGGCUUGAGUGCGGCAGAGGGGGAUGGAAUUCCGCGUGUAGCAGUGAAAUGCGUAGAUAUGCGGAGGAACACCGAUGGCGAAGGCAAUCCCCUGGACCUGUACUGACGCUCAUGCACGAAAGCGUGGGGAGCAAACA